CGGGGUGUAGCGCAGCCUGGUAGCGCACCUGUAUGGGGUGCAGGUGGUCGUGCGUUCGAAUCGCACCACCCCGACCA
rnacentral:tRNA from 1 species